rnacentral:lncRNA from 1 species
CAGGGCCACACAAUGUGAAGGAUGCUUACUGUUUGCUCAAUUUUGGGGACAGUAUCACCACUGAUCACAUCUCACCAGCUGGGAACAUCCAAAAGGACAGUCCUGCUGCAAAGUUUCUCAUCGAGCGUGGCGUUGACCGUAAGGACUUCAACUCAUAUGGAAGUCGCCGUGGGAAUGAUGAAAUAAUGGCCAGAGGCACUUUUGCUAAUAUCCGUAUCGUUAACAAGCUCAUGAAUGGUGAGGUUGGCCCUAAGACAGUUCACAUUCCAUCUGGAGAGAAGCUCUCAGUCUUUGAUGCAGCCAUGGUUUGUAUAUAUCUAACUAAAAUUUGUACUCCUGACUGUACGUUGAUCAUGUUGAAUGUCUCCUUAUCAUAAUGUCAAAUGUAUCAGAGGUACAAGUCAUCUGGUGAAGACACAAUUAUUCUUGCUGGAGCUGAGUAUGGAAGUGGUAGCUCACGUGAUUGGGCUGCCAAGGGACCCAUGCUACAGGUUUUGAACCGCUUCUCUCGUUUGUUUUCGCAUAAACCCAUUGUACUGUUUUAUCUGAAACAAAAAAAAUUGGGAUUGUCAGGGCGUUAAAGCGGUGAUUUCUAAAAGUUUUGAGAGGAUUCACCGAAGCAACUUGGUGGGAAUGGGAAUCAUCCCGUUGUGCUUUAAGUCUGGUGAAGACGCAGAUACUCUUGGAUUGACUGGUCACGAACGCUACACGAUCCAUCUCCCAACUGAUAUCUCAGAGAUAAGACCCGGCCAAGAUGUUAACGUCACUACCGACAACGGAAAAUCUUUCACUUGCACAGUCCGCUUCGACACAGAGGUAAAUAAAAUACUCCAGUCUUCAAAAUGUUUGGUGAAAGAUAAAAAGAAGAAAAAACACAUUUCUAUGUGAACGAACUAAUAAUGGUAAAUAAAUGCGCAGGUGGAAUUGGCAUACUUCAACCAUGGAGGCAUACUUCCAUAUGUUAUCAGAAACUUGAGCAAGCAAUAGUGAAGGAACCAACACAAUUUAUGGAGCAAAAUAAAAGAGAUUUUUUCUGUUUAAAAAUGUCAUUUUUAAAAGGCAGAUAAGUCUGUCUAGGAUAGGUUAAAAAGGUGAGUGAUCUCAUGCAAUAUGAGUUUGGGCUCCCAAGUUUCGCAACUUGCAAGAGUUGAAUAUUAUUGUUUUUGGAAUGGAAUAAGAGCCGAUCUCUUUUGACAGACCUUUAAAUCUUCAAAUAGAGGAAAAAAUGUCGCGGAUAUAACCAAAUGCAGUGUUAGAUUUAUUUAAACUUGUAGACUUGUGUAGAAAACUCCCUAUCUAGGCGUCCAACGUUAAAGUGACUUAAACAAUAACAAGUAACUAUAUUUUUUCGAGCACAACGGACUAAUCCACUAAACGAAGCUACGUCGUUUCAGUUUAGGGUUACAUUUGGGCGUCUCUCUCCGAGAUCUCAACGAGAGUCAUCGUGAUUUUGUGUGUUUUUGAUUAUCUGAAAUCGAAACAGCUCCCAUAGCUUCUUCUCAAUUUUCUUCAAUUGUUGUUACCCUUCUCCCAAAUUCACGACUUUCUUCUGGGUUCGUCGGAACACUCACGUAAGCUCUUUUUCUGGGUUUUGCUUUCUCCUCUUUCUGGGUUUCUCUUUCUCGCAACGCUUACUGAUUAAUGCCUAGUCCUCCUUUUUAUAUGUAUUUCUCCUCUUUUGGGGCAAAACUUGAGAUUAUAUCUGUUGUUUAAUGGCUUAGGGCAUUUGGUCGUGUCGGAGAGAGAUCUCAACAAGAGUCAUUGAUAUUCAUUUGAUCGUCGCAACGCAACACUUAAUAAUGGUAAGCUCCUAUUUUGUUGUUCAUAUAUGUUUGUAACGUUAAUGGUGAUUGAUUAAGUUUUUGAAUUGAUUUUGUUGUUGAAAGACCAACUCUUUUCGAUUUAGAGAUUGAAUUUUUCCCUAUCAAAGUGUAGUCUCUGUGAUUUAGAAAAGCUUUAAAAGAGAAAGAGAUGAACUGAAAAGUGCUUGCAUUCAACCAAGGAAAUUGGUCUCUUAAAUAGACCUUGAACUUACAACUGGAAUCCGAAACUUAAGCUACUAGAAUUACUGAAACAAACUUCGACGUGGAGCUAGUCAAUCCCUAUAAACAAGGAUGACUUAUUCAACUAAAAGAAAUUCAAAACAAAACAGAAUGUUGCCCGAAUAUGCAGGACCUUAUUCUUCAUUCCCUCCCCUAAACUGGAAUGUCUCCUCUCCAGUUUACUCUUCCUUAACGCAUACUCCCAUCCUGCUCCUGAGCUUUUCAAACACAUCGAGUUUCACAGCUUUUGUCAUGAUAUCGGAUAUCUGAUCUUGUGUUCCACAAUAGUCAAGCUGAAUGACACCAUCAUUCACCAACUCCCUUAAAUAAUGAAACCUGACAUGAAUGUGCUUGCUUCUUCCAUGUAGCACCGGGUUUUUAGACAACUUUAUGGUAGAACUAUUGUCACAGAACAUAAUGGUACCUUCCUCUUGCUGAAAACCAAUCUCCUCCAAAAUGUUCCUGAGCCACACUGCUUGACAAGCUCCAUAAGCUGCUGAAACGAAUUCUGCUUCGGUUGUAGACAAAGUCACAAUCGGUUGCUUCUUCGAGACCCACGACACUGCUCCUCCUCCCAACAUUAAAACGUAUCCAGGGGUGCUUUUACAAUCAUCAACAUCCCCUGCAUAAUCACUGUCCACAUACCCGACCAGCUUUUGCUCUCCACCAAACUUAUAUUGAAUACCAAAAGCUCGAGUUCCUUGAAGAUAUCUCAGAAUUCUCUUAGCUGCUACCAUGUGUUGUUCAUUUGGACUCUCCAUGUACCUACUGACCAAAUUCACAGAGUAAAUUAAGUCUGGUCGUGUAGCAGUUAAGUACCUUAUAAGCUUCCAACAAGUUGUUGAAUUCACUUCUUCUCCACCUCCUGUCUUCGUCAGCCUUUGACCCGGAACCAUAGGAUUCUUAACGGAAUUGCAGUUCUCCAUUUCAUACCUUUUAAGAAUUUCUUCUGCAUAUUUCCUUUGAUUUAUGAAGAUCCCUUUCUCAUCUUGCACAACCUCUACUCCCAAGAAAUAUUUCAUUUUACCCAAGUCCGUCAUUGAGAAUUCUCUCAUCAUAGAGUCUUUAAACUCUUCAAGCAUCUCAGUUGAAUUUCCAGUGUAGAUGAGAUCAUCAACAUAAAGACUUAUGAUUAAACAGCAUCCUUCUUCCUUCUUCACGAACUGUGUGUGCUCACAAUAACAUUUUUCAAAUCCUUCCCGCAGAAAAUACCCUUCAAUGCGACUGUACCAUGCUCUUGGAGCUUGUUUCAAGCCAUACAACGUUUUCUUCGACCUAUAAACCUUGUCAGAUCCUUCACUGACCUCAAAUCCCUUUGGUUGCUCCACGAAGACCUCCUCCAUUAGUUCUCCGUGUAAGAAAGCACUCUUAACAUCUAAUUGGAAAACAUUCCAGCCUUUUUCUGCAGCUUUUGCCAAUAUCACUCUUAUUGUAUCCCAUCUAGCUACUGGUGCAAAAACUUCGUGAAAAUCCACUCCUUCUUUCUGAUGAUACCCUUUUGCAACCAGUCUUGCCUUGAACUUAUCGAUUUCUCCAUUCUCGUUGAGUUUAGUUUUGAACACCCACUUAACUCCUAUCACCUUAGCUCCUUCCGGGAAAUCGAUUAGCUCCCAUGUGUUGUUUUCUUCUAUAGAAGCAAUUUCCGUCUCCAUUGCCUUUCUCCACACUGAUUCUUGUGCUGCGUCUUCGUAGCUCUCGGGAUCCUUUGAAGCUAUGAACAACGCAAGAAUCUCUCCGUUAUCUUCUUCUAUUAAAAACUCUGCAUCUCUUGUGUCAAAGUCUUUGAACCAGACUGGUCUCCUAAUCGUUCGCUUGGAACCUUCUCUCACAGGAACCUGAGCUGCCGGAAUUGGUUGAGCUUCCUCUACGACAGCGUUUUCUUCUUCUUCAACACGGUUUUCUCCUUCUGCAACCACAUUCUCUUCUUCAGCGGGUUCAAUCUGUGAAUCGUCCCAUGCGAGUUCUUUCUCCUCUUGUUUUUCUUCCCAAUCCCAUCCUCUGGUUUCAUCAAAGUGAACGUCUCUACUUAUCACUAUCUUCUUCGUUGCUGGAUUGUAGAGACGGUACGCCUUUGAUUCUUUGCUUACUCCAAACAAUACACAAUUGACGCUCUUCUCAUCAAGUUUAAUCCUUCUUUCAUACGGCACAAGAGCAUAUGCGAUACUCCCGAAUACCCUGAGAUGACUCACCAACGGCUUCUAAUUGCUCCACUUCUCCUCCGGUGUGACGUCAUCUAAGGCCUUUGAUGGACUUCUGUUCAGUAUGUAUAAGGCAUAUUGAACAGCUUCUGGCCAAAACGUCUUGGAACUCCCAUCUCCAGCAUCAUACAUCUUGUCAUGUUCAUGACUGUUCUGUUUUUUCUCUCUGCGAUUCCGUUCUGUUGAGGUGUAUAUGCCGCUGUGAGCUGACGUUUGAUACCAAACUCCCUGAAAUAAUCAUCAAACUCCCGAGAGUUAUAUUCUGCUCCCAUAUCAGAGCGCAAACACACCAACAUCUGCCCUAAUUCCCUUUCUACACCAGCCUUAAAUUCCUUAGAAACUCUAAAAGCUUUUGAUUUCUCUGACAAGAAGUAGGUCCAACACUUUCUAGUCAUCUAUGAAAUUGAUGAUGUACCUUUUUACGCUUUCAGAUUGUGGAGUGAUUGGUCCGCAUAUGUCGGUGUGAACCAAUUGGAGCACUCAAGUUGAUUUCCACACGCUCUUCUUUGGAAUGCUUUCUCGGUUUUGUUUUCCUCUCAUGCAGAUAUCACAUACGACUUCUUCUGGUUCUUGGCUCAGCUUUGGUAUCCCAAUCACCAUGUCUUUUUCUGCCAGCGAUCUCAAGCCUUUGUUGUUGAGGUGACCAUACCUUCUGUGCCAUAAAUCAUUUGUCUUUUCCAUCACUUGCAGACAUCGGCCAUCUUCUACUUCUUUUGCUUUCUUGACAAUGGCAGGAAUUACAAACAUCCUAUUCUUUGCCAUUGUAGAAUGCAUUAUCAUUCUUUUCUCCUCUUUGUGCCAUUCUUCACAUUCUCCAUCUUCGAUAAUGAUUCUCAAACCUUUCUCUUGCAGCUGUCCCACACUAAAGAGAUUAUUCUUUAGUUCAGGUACGAAGUAGACAUCAGAAAUUACUUGAGUUCUCCCAUUGAUCUCAAGCCGCAAAUUUCCCUUUCCGUCGACAGACAUUCUCCUGUCAUCCCCUAGCUUCACGCUUCUCUUAAAGGUACUGUCAAGCUCAAUAAACCACUCCCUUGAGCCGCACAUAUGAUUGCUGCAGCCCGAGUCCAAAAACCAGACUUGUUCCUCUUCGGUUUUGACAUCCUCAAUGCGUGCCAUCAACAGCAAAUCUUCCUCCAUUUCAACAUAAUUUGCUUCUUUGUCCCACUCUGGACAUUCCGACUUGUAGUGCCCCAGCUUGUGACACUUGAAACAUUCCACGUUCUCUUUGUUGACAAAACCACGGCCCCUACCUUGAUAUCCACCUCUGCCCCUUCCUCAAACUGGAUAUCCUCCUCUGCCUCUGCUACUGCUCGGUUUCCAUUGCCCCUCAACUUUAAGAGCUUUCUCCUCUCCAUCGUGCCUGAUCAUGUUUUGCUCAUGAACUCUCAACGAGCUCUGCAGACCAUCCACUGUCAUGCUCCUGAUGUCUUUUGAUUCUUCAAUCGCACACACUAUGUAUGUGAAUUUCUCAGCCAGCGUUCUUAGAAUCUUCUCAACGAUUUUUGAAUCCGGCAUAUCUUCUCCAAGAUUGCGCAUGUCGUUAGCAACUUCCAUCACUCGUGAGAAGUACUCUUCGAUUGACUCUCCAAAUCUCAUCUCAAGGACUUUAAAAUUUCUUCUCAGCCUCUGUAGUUGUGCGCUCUGCACCCUAUCAUUACCUUGAUAUUUCUUCUUCAUUGACUCCCACAAUUCCUUUGACGUCUCCUUCUUGAGAAUUGUUUUCAGAAUCGUCUUGUCGAUGGAAUCGAACAGAUAGUUCUUCACUUUGUGAUCGGUAACCGUCUUCUCUGCUAUCUUCUUUAACAGCUCGGCUCUCUGUGCUCCCGACAGAACCGUUCCUCUUUCUUGACUUGGAAUCCCUGUUUCGAUCAGAUCCCACCAUUCCUUCGAGCGGAGCAAAUUCUCCAUGAGCAUAGCCCAAUGCUCGUAGUCACCGUCAAACUUUGGUAUGAUCAUCGUAUCUUUGUCUCUCAUCUCUUUCUCUCAGAUUAUUAUCAAGCUCUGAUACCACUUUGUAGUCUAUGUGAUUUAGAAAAGCUUUAAAAGAGAAAGAGAUGAACUGAAAAGUGCUUACAUUCAACAAAGGAAAUUGGUCUCUUAAAUAGACCUUGAAAUUACAACUGGAAUCCGAAACUUAAGCUACUAGAAUUACUAAAACAAACUUCAACGUGGAGCUAGUCAAUCCCUAUAAACAAGGAUGACUUAUUCAACUAAAAGAAAUUCAAAACAAAACAGAAUGUUGCCCGAAUAUGCAGGACCUUAUUCUUCACAAAGCUCUUAAGAUGCAUACACGUUACACGCUCAAUGUAGAUUUGAAGGAAGUUGCGACUCUUUAAGCUCUUAAGAGUAAAGCAAGGCUAAGCUUAAGGAACGUUUCAAGACUGGGAAGAACAGGUGGUUCUUUACUAAGCUCAGGUUCUGAAUAACCUUUGAGAUUUUAUCUUUAUCGAAUUUUACAACUAUCUAUCUACUUUUUUUUGUUUAGUUCUAUAAUGAAUUUGGAUAAUUGUCAUGACUUUUAGUUCUGGAUUUUGUCUUUUUACUUAUGAUCAUUUGCUAUAUUGAUGCCUCCAUUUGAUAUGUUGUCACUGGUUUAAUAGUUUAUUGCUUACCAAACCUUGAAGAUGGUCAAAUGCUGCUCUAGACUCUGUUGUUUACUUUUAGGGAACAUAGAGAGCCGUAGAAGCAUUUUUGAGUUGUCAUCAUGUUGAUCUUUGACGGGCCUAAACGGGCUUUUAGAAAUUUGGCGGGCUUAAACGGGUAGGAGACUAAACGGGUUUCAAAAUAUUUAGUUAAACAGGCAUGGGCCUAGCAAAUUCUCUUCUAAAGUGGUACGCCAUCUUCUAAAGUGGUCGACUGGAAACUUCAUCCUGUAGAACCACGAUUUCUACGAUAUGGCAAACUGAAAAAUUGUUGUAAAUAAUGAUAAGAAACAGAAUCAAAAUUACAAACUCGAUACCAAACUCUAACGAACGAAGAACGAUUUGUGUGGAGGCGAGACACUCUUUCCUUAAUUCUUUAAUUGCCCGUAGUGUGACGGUGUUACGCAAUCAGAAUCCCAGGAUACAACCACACCAUCAACUGUUUCGCAGCACUCAAAAAACAGAAGCUAAACGAACCAAAAUUCUGUGUUGUACUCUCAGACACAAAAGGAAAGAGAAGAGAAGAGAGGAGGAUUGACUUUUUAUUAUUGUUCACGAUGAUGAAAAUGAGGUGAAGAAGCCUUACUUAUAAAGCCAAAGCCUUCAACGUACAUGUAGUCAAAAGGAGAACAAGACAUUAAUCAGAAUCAAUUCUCAUGUUAAUGCCAUCACGUUAAUGUCGUCAAUGAGACAAUAAGUUAUUGUCAAUAACCAUUGAUUUUGUUGUUACACAAAUUCAAUUAGGGAGAGAUUCUCAUUUUUAUUAUUAUUUAAACAAUAAUAAUUAAAAUUGAAUUUGGGAAAAUAAGAAUAAUAUUUUGGGUUGUAAGCCCAUUUUCUAUUUCCCUAAUUCCAAACCCCAAAUCCUAACCGGUCCGGUUUGAUGCGACACAUCACAAUACGACACGGUUCGGGUUUCUCCUUUAACUUCCAAAGUGCGACAUUUGACCGUUAGUCAACAUUUCAAGCUUUACAAGCUAGCCACUUUGGACCUCUAUUUCUCAUUCAAACGAACUCCGUUUUUGACAUUCCAAUACACUACCGCGUAGUGUUCGCAGCAACGAUCUCAUCGUGCCCAAGAACCGGUCAUUCCGAUGAACGUCUUCACCGGAAAAUCCACCGAAAAAUGGUCACAACCACUACGUCAAAAACAAGUUCCAACACAUCCUACAUUAACAAGCAAGAGGAUGAUGAAGAUUGGAAGAUUUGACCGCGAGAUAACGACCGCGAGAUUGGAAGAUUUGACCGCGAGAUUGGAAGAUUUGUUUAUGGCUUAAGAUUUUGUGGAUGGCAAUCAAAGAUAGAGUGGUGUUGUGAAUCUUGUGAUGCUCUGUGUUUGGUUUAGAUUUUGUUCUGCAGCAUUGUGUUUCCGGUUUGGUUUUUUUUUAUUAUUCUUUUGCUUUACUUUUCUGAUUUUACGGAUCGUUUGGGGUCAAUAAAUUUUGAUUUUCAAUUUUUACUUUGCUCCACCAUUUCAAUAUGAUUUUCAGGAUUAUCUGUCUACUUUUCAUAAUCUCUUGUGUUUUCUGGAACCUUAGGUUAGUUGAUAAGGAAGCUUCUAGAAAUUAUUCUUGGUGGGCGUGGAACUAUAUGGGAAGAUCAGCUUGGAGAAUAUGCUUUUUCGAAUGGAGUCUGAUCAAGUUAGUUCUCGAUGAAGAAUUUAAAAGUGGUGAGUUUUUCCUGCAACCAAGACAAAAGAAACAAAAAAAUAUUAAUGGUGAUUAUAUCAAAGCUGAACUAUGUGUUUCUCUUUUCUAUUUUGUGCUAAUUAGAGUUUGGAAAUAUAUACUCAUUGUUCUAAUUAUUCAGGUGAUUUUGUGAUUCUGGUUCAUCAUAGUUAAUCAAGGAAGCCGCUCUUAGAUUUGUUACUAAACACAAAGUACGGUUGUCUUAGUUUAUUUUCCAAAUAUGUUCUCUUCAAUCUUUUUUUCUGUUUGGUCUUUUGAUUUUGUUCUUGGAGUUCGAUGUUCUGUCACGUUUCUUCUGCAGCUGCAAAUUCCAGAGCCUAUAUAUAAUCGUUGGGAUUUUCAGGGUGUUAAAGCGGUGAUUGCAAAGAGUUUUGAGAGGAUUCACCGAAGCAACUUGGUGGGAAUGGGAAUCAUCCCGUUGUGCUUUAAGUCUGGUGAAGACGCAGAUAGUCUUGGAUUGACUGGUCACGAACGCUACACAAUCAAUCCCCCAACCGAUAUCUCAGAGAUAAGACCUGGCCAAGAUGUUACUGUCACUACCGACAACGGAAAAUCUUUCACUUGCACAGUCCGCUUCGACACAGAGGUAACAAAAUACUCGAAUCUUCAAAAUGUUUGGUGGAGAAAAAAAGCAUUUAAUGUGGACGAACUAAUAAUGGUAAAAUAAAUGUGUAAGUGGAAUUGGCAUACUUCAACCAUGGAGGCAUACUUCCAUAUGUUAUCAGAAACUUGAGCAAGCAAUAGUGAAGGAACCAACACAAUUUAUGGAGCAAAAUAAAAGAGAUUUUUCUGUUUAAAGUUGUCAUUUUUAAAAGGCAGAUAAGUCUGUCUAGGAUAGGUUAAAUAUUAUGUCGAUCUUAUAAUUUUUUUCUUUUAUUUCUAUUUUUAUUUCAUAAGAUACAUCGAAUUUCCUUAUAUUUAUCUUCUUUAGAUUUUUUAAAUUGUUUUAUAUAAGAUAUAUACGUAUAAUUUCCUUAUAAAUGUUUUUCAAAACAAAUAUUUUUUUUGGUUUUACACGUUGAUAAAUUUGACAUGUGCGCAUAGCUUCCUAAUAUAUAUUUUUAAAAUAAAUAAAAAUAAAUUUUAAUUUAACACAUGUCAAAAUCUGAGAUCAAUAAAUUUGACACGUGACACGAUCCUAUGAAUUAUUAACUUUCAAAAUCAUACUUUAUAUAAUAAGAAGAUAGGUCUCACUUUUUAAUUUAGGUUUUGAAUAGGACUAUGAUAUUGAUAACGAUGGAUUGCCUCAAGGCUUUAAUAGGGAGAUUAUAUUGUUACUAAUCCGAAAAAAUAGCAAAAUAAAAUAAUGAGGAAGAUUAUUUUCGUGUUAUGGUGAUAAUUAUGCCAAUGAUUUUAUUUCUUUUCGUGUAUACAAUUCGUUUUUGUGUACAUAACAAUAUCCCGACCUUUAUGGUCAGAGGAAUACAAUACAACUUUGAUAUUACUCUUUACUUGGAAAGCAAGGAAAACAUUUGAACUUGACGAGAACUCUUCAAACAGAAUCAAUGGCGACUACUCAUGCAGUGAUGGGUGUGAUCAGGUCAAUUAUGCCUGCUUUUCGCAAUAACAACGACAAAGUCGCUUUCGUAGUUCACGCUUCUUUCGUCGUUUCCGGUUUCAUCCUCACUGCAACUGGGCGUCCUGCCUUUGCCUUUGACGCUCUGUCGUCAUCGACCACUGAGAGUUAGUGUGUUAGGUUUUUUUUUUUUUUUAAUACUAUUUUUUCCUAGGGUUUAGGAUUCUGAUUUGUUCGAUUUUCGAUUUUUAGGUUUGGUUAGGAUUGCCGGGUGGAACGAAUUCGAUGAGGAGUAUGCGUUUGUUUAUAAAAGUCCGGUGAAGGGAUCGAAGAAGAAUACAGUGAAGAAAUUUCUGGUUAAGUGCUUGGUGAUGAAUGAUAAACUUCUUGUUGAUGCAAUAGCUGAGGAUGGAAAAGAAUUUGGUCAUCUCCAAAUACAGUAUGUCAUUGUUUCUCUUUAUCUCUUUACUUUUGCUUGAAUCUCAAGGUACUGAAACUUUCUUGUUUAUUUUCUUAUUACAGAGUUGGGAAUUAUACUGAUGAGUCUAGAGAAGAGAAGGAUUACGAUGCACAGUUCAAGAAUUUUGGCAAGUUAGUGACUGAUUUGAAUAGUGAGAUUUUGUGUAAACUAAAUACUGUUUCUACUACAACCAAGUCCAGCUCUGAGAAAAAUGAAGAGCCUAGAGAUUACGUUGGGAUAACUUCAUCUUCAAAGAAACAGAAGAAAAUAUGGGUAUAACUGUUGGAACUCAUUUUUUACACAAGUGGCUCCGGCCAACUUUCCGGCAACUUUUCUGGUGACGUCCGUCAUCGGAAUGACCGGAUAAUGGAACCUUUGGAUUCCUUGUAAUGGGCACUAUAAGAUAGUGUAUCUAUUUGUAAAAAUUGAAGUUAUAUUGAAUGAGUAAUUGAGGUCCAAAGUGGGGAGCUUGGAAGCUUAUAAAUCACAAAUGUAAUUUUGUCCCAUAUUGGAAGUUUGGAAACUUUCCCUCUAGUAUAUAUAGUGAUACACAUGUGACAUGGUUCACUAGCUAUUGGGAAAGGGAGACUAUGGUGAAGGAGAUGCAUGCACAUUAUGCAACACGACCCACACGCGCGUGCGCGUCGCUGUGCCGGGCUUGGGCUUGGGCUUGGGCUUGGGCUCUUGGGGAAUGUGGGCCUUUGGCCAACAAAAGAAUAUUCUUUUUGGGGAAAAUACUUAUGAGGCUUUUGUUACAUAAGACUUGGCCCAUUAACGAAAUUCGAAAGCCCAAUAACGAAAUCGAAACCUUUGCAUAAUUAAAGGCAUAUUCGAAUAUUAAAAGCAUAUCCGAAUAUUCCUUUUCCGAAUUCGAAAUCGAGAAACAGAAGUGAUAACGCUUCCUAAAAUCUCGCCCACGAUCUCGACUCGGUUAAGUCUUGCGCAUCACUCCGAUUCUCCACGAUCUCCGCUAACAUUCGCGCGACUUACGGACCAAGCUGCUUCUCCUCUCGCCUAUAAAAGGAACACCUCACUCUCUCAUUUUCUUCACUUGCUAUUCGCAAAAAACACAACCACACAACUCUCUCCCUCUCUCUCUUUCUUCUCAAAGUAAGUCUCAAGAGUAUAUCGUCUAUAUCAAGUUCGUAGAUUCCGCUAUCGAGUGAAGCGAUAACGGCCUCAUUUUGAUUGUAUCAUGCGGUCCGCUGCUCAUAAAACCGUCUCAUCUACGGGAGCUAGUUUGGAUCGACUAACCCAUGUGCAAGUGCCGUUCACAUGGAACCUUCAAAGUUCUCAUUUGAAUAUUUGCUACUACCACCAAGAUAUGCACCAACGGCAGCUCCGCCCGGGCUCCCGCCCUAGUUUUGCAGCGACUGCCGUGCCCUCCUACUCAUCGAGGCCUGGCUCUUGCCCCGACUGCCGGGUAUAGGUCACGCGCUUCAGCGCCAUCCAUUUUCGGGGCUAGUUGAUUCAGCAGGUGAGUUGUUACACACUCCUUAGCGGAUUUCGACUUCCAUGACCACCGUCCUGUUGUCUUAAUCAACCAACACCCUUUGUGGGUUCUAGGUUAGCGCAGUUGGGCACCGUAACCCGGCUUCCGAUUCAUCCCGCAUCGCUAGUUCUGCUUUACAAUGCAGUGUUGGUGCUACUUUACACAACCUUGGACAACUCUAUCUUGUGCAGCGAAAACUUGAGGAAGCUCGUGCGUGUUAUGAGGUAAUCACAAUUUAUGUUUUACAAAACAAAGCAUCUAAAAUGGAUUGCAUAAAUAGUCCCUUUCUAGGUUAUUUGGAUGGAUGUAGUGUUGGUAUUGAAGAUUAGGAGGUGUGUGUUUGCUGUGAUACAUGAAAAAAUUAUGAGGAAUUGGAGUCAUGAAUGUUGCUGGCUAUGUAUACGAAAACAAAUUUUUCAUGAUAAAAGGGCAUGUUACGUAUCAAAGUCUAGAUGCUAGAAUCAGAAAAUUGGUCCAAAAUAUGUUUUAAAAUAAAGAGUGAACUGGCGCAGAAGUAAAAUUGGGAAAAGAAAUUAGCUAAGAGACAUUUGUUAUGAAGACUAAACCAAAAUUACAUAUAUUUGAUGUCUUUCUGAAAGAUUUAAUACAAAAAGAUUUAAUCUUCGAUUCUCCGGCUUCAUUGGUGGGAACUUAUGUCAAUUUUAAAUUAAUUUGUAUGUUCUUCAAAAAAAAAAAAAAAAAACCAACUCAUAAGCUUUUAUAGUUAAUUUUUUUUUUUUUUUUAAUUUUAAAUUAAUUUGUAUGUUCGUCAAUUUUUUUUUUUUUUUUUUUUUUUUUUUUUUUUUGCGCAAAAUUGUAAGAGAUUACAUAGUAAUUUCAAAUUUACUUGAAGAAUUGUUAGAAAUGCAUUCUUUUAGAUAUCUUUUUAAGAAAUGCAUUCUUUACUCAUCGACCUCUUUUUAAGAAAUGCAUUUUUUUAGAUAUCUUUUUGUGCCCUUUUAAUUUUUAUUGACCAUUUUACCUCUAUGUAAAAAAUAUUUAAGUCAACAAAAUGAAAAAGUGAUUUUUUCCCGCAAAAAAGUUUUGCGACAAAAAAAUUUCCGUCAAACAUUAUAUCUCUUGCUUUUUAUUUCUUAUUAUUUUAUUUUAUAAAUGCAAUAUAGUUUAAUAAACAAUAAAAAUAUAUUUUGUCAUAUUAUAAGUGUUUAAUGAUUUUACUAGUUGUUUAUUUUAUUACACUAAUUUCAUCCAUAUAGUAUUUUAUUUUUUCAUGGUCAUUGCAACUAUUUUCUAUAGCUUGUAAACAAUUAGUUUGUACAGUUAAAAAUAUGAAGAAAAAAAAAAUGUUCUCCUUAGCUUCCUUCCACGUGUCCAAACUGUAACGCCCGUGUUCUGAAAAAUAAUAGAAAAAUUAGAUUUUAACCCGCGCUACACCGCGAGAUGAUUUAUUUUUAAAGUUAGUGUAAAAAUAUUUUGUAAAUUGUAUCUCCUUCGAAAAUAUUUAUUUAUAUUAUAGUUUACAAUUGUUACUAAGUAACGGUAUACCACUAGUCCACGAGACAAUUAUUAAUAAACUGAGGAUUUAACCCGUAUUAAAGCGGUAUAUAAAUAUUGAUUCAAAUUCGUCCGCCAUAUAAACCCGUUACGAAAUAUAACCCAUUCCGUAAUUUUUUAACCCGUCCCGUGAUUUGUUUUUAUUUUAAAAUUUAAUGAUUAUUUAUUAUAUAAAAGUUUACAAAUCAUAUCAUUCUCUAAAACAUUUAUAUUUUAAUAAACUGAAGAUUUAAUAUAUAUUAAAGCGGCAUGUUAAUGAUAUUUUAAAAUUUUAUAAAUAUUGUUAUUAAGUAACAUUAUACCACGGGACAAUUUUUGGUUUUAUACAAUCUUUUCUAAAUGAGACUGAUUUAAUAUGUUUAAUAUUGGUGAUAUUAAAAAAAUAAGGAUUUAAUCCGUAUUGAAGCGGCGGAUUAAUGAUAUUUUAAUCUUUUUAUUAUUGUUGAUUCAAAAGUCCAUCCCGCCAAACCCGUCCCGCCAAAAAACUCAUUUAUUUACUAAUGUUGAUCUUAUUUAUGAUAUGAUUUUGAAUUAUUGUCUAAAUAUUUUAAUCGAUGUAGAACGUUGAACACACAUUUUCCUCAAUUGGAUAAUAUAUGUCCGUUUUUAAAAUUUCGAAUCACAGUAUAUGCAGAAAAAAGUUGAUUUUUUUUUUUACUUUAUGGAUUAUAUGAUGAUUCAAAACAGUUAAAAACAAAUCAAACAAAUAUGAUAGGAGAAUCAUAAUUCUAAAUCUUAAUCAAAUCUUCUAAAUAUCUAAAUUAUUAAAUAUGGAAUAUCCGGUGUAUGAGUUGGGUUAAAUAUAACCCGAUCUAAUAAUUUUUUUGUGAAGGAAUUUUAAAAACGGGUCGGAUAUCUGAUAUACCCGGAAGCAUUUUUAUCCACUCGUCACCAAAGUAUUGCAAAAAUACUAGUAUAGAUGGAUGUUUAUGUCGGGAAUUGAAGUAGAGUCGGUUCAAUUCAACUGGUUUACUGAAAGGGUCGAUUUAUUAAUUAAACAAAAGAGGUGGUUUAAUUAAUUCUCGGUUUAGUAAAAUCUUGGUUUGAUCAAAUUAAACCAGGGAACCUUAUUUUUCUCUAUAUCACCACACAAGCCUCCUCUUCUCCUGUGUCGUGACCUGCAAAGAAAAAGAGAGAAAGAGAGCUUGUUAGUGUGAGAAAGAGGGAGAGGUUGAAGUUUGGUGAAAGGAGAAGAGAGGCAGACAGGACACGUUUUGGUAAAACAGAGUUUCGUCAUAUCAAUUCGUUUCCAAAGGUGACGAAAUUUUCAGGAAUUGUAGCCGUUUACGGAUAUUGAUUCGUUAUAUCUAGUUAUAGCCGUUUACGGAUAUUGAUUCGAAUCAAUAUUCUAAGAGUUAUCCAUGUUUUCGUGAGCUCUUCUGUUUCAGUCGCGUUUUGGACCAGUUCGUGUUCAAAGUGAGAUUGCGAACGAAUCCUUUUUCUGAUCGCCACAAAGUUUAGUGGGUAGGUUUAGGACACCUAGGAGAAGCUUUUCAACGGUGGGAUUGGAAAUUGAACGGUAAGAACUUGUUUCGUAAUCCAAUGUUUUAGGCUGACAAUUCUGUGAUUUUCGUAGAAUUUUACGGUUAGGUUUAAUUGAUGUUUUGAUUGUUGUGGUUGGCUACUAGCGUGAUUUGAGAUACAGUUGACGUGAGGAAGAAUUCAACUGUGGUUGUGUGGUGUUGUUAUUGUUCAAAAAUCAUCCCUAAGCUGAGGUGAGUGCGUGACCAUGAGCUUAUCUAAGCGAUUGGGAUUAUGUGAUUGCUUGUUGUGAUGUGUAGAUUGGAUUCUUGAUGGGUCCAGAAUUAAAAUCUAUGAGAUGGUUGUGUUAUUGGAUGAUUGUCAUUGGUUUGGUUUGUUUUUGUGAAUUAUGUGUUGAUUUUUGAUCUCAGUUGCUUGUGUGUACAGCUCGUAGAUGUGAGGAUCGCCUCACUAAGUAUUUAUUGAAAUACUUAUGCAUCUUUUUUCUUGGUGCAGGUAAAGAUAAAGUGUGAUCGUGGAAUCAUGGCGAGGAGAGGAGGAUGAUCUAAGACUUGAUUUUUGUGAUCAUUAUUAGUUGACUUUCACGGUUUAUUUUUGAUUAAAUGUGGAAUUGAUGGUUGCAUUGUUAUUGGUAUUUUGCUAGUUUUAUUUUGAAUAAUUUUGAAUUUAAUUUUAGUUUGGAAUCUGUUAAAGUUUAUUUGAAAUACUUUGGAAUUUGGUGGGUUAUUAGGAUAACCGGAAUAAUUUGAUCGAUUUAGUGAUUUUUGUGAGUUGUUGAAUUAAAUGUGGAUGUGGAUAAAUAAUUAAUAUUUAUGGGAAUAUUAGUUAUAUAAUUUAAAAAAAAAAACGGGUCUGGUUGUUUCACAAACACACACAAGAAAAAAAUUGGUUGAUCCGAAACCGAAAAAGAAGAUGAAAAUCUAAAAAAAUGAUUGUUACCUUUUAUUCUCCUCUUCGUCCUACUACACCAUAAUCACACUCUCGGGCCAUUUAAGUCCAGCCUUUUGAAAUCUCUAAUAUAUUUUAUGGGUGACUUUAAAGUUCAGAGCCGACUUGCUCUGAUACCAAUUCAAAUCAAGAUCUUCUUAUCUUGACUUCUCUGAUGGCCAAUUCAAAUCAGGAUCACCUUAUCCUGACUUAGUCACUGAAUGAUUCAGAAAGUGAUUCAGCAACACGAGAACAAGAGUUUAAAGAACAACCUUUCUUUAUUGAUUUAGAAACUUCAUAAAACUAAAUCUCUCUCUUAUGUCCUCUCUGAGGUCUUAUGGAACAACUCUCCAUAGCCUCUCUUAUAUAGAACUUAUCUACCCCUAAGUCUAUAUGAGUCUCUUUCUCUAGACUCUCAUGAGAUCUGUCUCAACACCUCCACGUGUCUCAACUCUCAUCUUCGGAUGCUGGAGCUCCUCUGGUAGCAGAACUCCCCCCCGAGCUGUUCUGAGCUCACCCCGAGCUAUUCGAGCUCCCCUGGGCUAUUCGAGCUCCCCGAGCUACACUAAGCUCUUUGAGCUUUCUCUCAAGCUCUCUCUCUUCUUCUUCAUGAGCUCUCCUCUUGAGCUGCCUUCACGAGCUCCCUCUGAGCUGCUCUCACGAGCUCUCCUCUGAGCUACCUCUGAGCUACCCUCUGAGCUACUUCGGCUAUACGAGCUACUCGAGCUCCUUAAGCUCCUCCGAGCUAUUCGAGCUCCUCCGCUUGAGCUGCACGAGCUCCCCUGCUGAGCUACUCCUCUUGUUCUUCACAAGGCUCUUAUUUAUACUAGAACCAAGCUUCUUCUUUGCCUAUUGUGAAUAGGAAGACUUACAAAUCUUGUCCAACUUGACAUUAUUUGUAUUUCCUUUUCUCUUGAUUUCCUUUCUUGGAUUUCCUUUCUUGGAUCUCUUCUAGCAUCUUCUAGAAGGAGAUAACUUGCUCCUCAAGUUAGUUGGAAUUAUCCAACAUUCUCCCCCUUAAUUCCAACUUGAAUUCCGGGAAGCUUGAUUCUCGCCAAUGCCUUAGUAAGUGUGUUCGCCUUCUGCUCCACACCUUGAACAUUCUCAACUUCAACCUUUGUUGAGAUACGAUCUCUUGCUCCUCAGCUUUUGAGAUCUUCAAAUUUGACUGCAUCUUAGUAUCCACAAGCAUUCCUUGAGCAUCUCCCUCUUGUUCUGCUCCUUGAAUUACUUCUUGUACUAGUGCUUGUACUACUUCAACGAUUCCUUGAACACAACCUUCUUGUUCUGCUCCUUGAAUCACGUCUUGUACUACUUCAUGUAAUACUUCAUGUACUACUUCAGCGAGAAGUAUUCCGUGAGCACAAACCUCUUGUUCAACUCCUUGAAUAAUUUUCUGUAGUACUCUCUGUACUACUUCAACGACUAGUACAGAAUACCCAAAUAUCAUAACCCGACUUGGUUUGAUAUUCUCUAGAAUCUGACUUGAUUCUAGCAUCAUUAGAACCCGGCUUGGCUCCAAUAUUGACCAAUCAUCUACCUUCUUGAGAUGCGGCCUCGUGAUCACACUUCUUAACCAAUCAUCUACCAUCUUGAGAUGCGGCCUCAUGAUCUUCUUAGCUUUUAGUAAGCUUGAAUGAUGUUCGGCUUCUCCCCACAUAUCAUUCAGAAUCUUCAUUAGGUGCCUAGAGACUCCUCCUCUAUGCAACCUCGAAUCUUCAUUAGAUGCUUAGAGACUCCUCCUCUAUGCAACAUCGAAUCUUCAUUAAAUGCCUAGAGACUCCUCCUCUAUGCAACAUCAUCGAAUCUUCAUUAAAUGCCUAGAGACUCCUCCUCUAUGCAACAUCAUCGAAUGCCUAGAGACUCCUCCUCUAUGCAACAUCGAUUCUUCAUUAGACGCCUAGAGACUCCUCCUCUAUGCGUAAUCGAUUGAAUUCCAUAAACUCUCCUCCUCUAUCGGUGCGAAAGGUUUUGAUAGACAAGCCGGCUUGCUUCUCUACACACUCUUCAAACCUUUUGUACCGAUCGAAAACUUCAAUCGAUAUGUCAACAAGGAACCACCUGUUCUUGUUGAUCUUGGCUCAUCUCUCACUUUCAUCAUAAGUUUUCUAGAACAAUCCGGAAAUUGUUUCUGGACAUACUUACAUAGUCUUCAAGGUACUACAGCUGAUUCAAUUGUCGACCUGACCUUCUCAGUUGUGCUAGUCCUUGAACUACUUCACCAACCUCACCCUCGUGGUUGUCUUGAGUGAUAUCCUCUAUGACAUUACCUGCUUCAUGUCCUUCUCCAGCAUCUUCUCCGCGAAUCAACUCCAAAACUUAUAUGACCUAACUGAGCAUGCCAUGUUCUUGUAGAUUCAUUAGCAAUUCAUUCAGUCAGUCCUUUAGCGAGUCCUUCAACGAGUCCUGCAGCAAGUCCUUCAGCACGUCCCUCAGCAAGUCCUUCAGCUUGCAGACAUGUUGCCUUGCUUAUCUCCAAACAACUUGAUGCUGACCAGCCUUGUCGCAUCACUUUGGAUAAAUUCUGCUUUUGGUUGUGAUCACCGGUUACUCCUCCUUGAGAUUGCAAGAUGGACCUUCCUUGUCCCAUGCCUCUGCCGGAACUGUCACCUCCAAAGCUUCUCCUACCAUAACCACCGUAGUUAUAGCUUCCUUUGUUAUAACGUCUUCUUGUUAUAACCGCCUCUGUUUCCUGCUCGAAACUUCCCGUAGCCUCCAUGCUUAGGGUUUGAGGUCCUUGGUCUUCACUUUGGAUUUCUUACCCAACACGUUCUUCAUACUCCAGUAACCUCCCAACAAUGUCUUCAAACCCCAUCCGUUUUAGGUCAAGAACUUGCUCCAGGGAUGCUACAAUAUGAAUGAUCUUGGUUCGUGGUUGUGGAUUCUCGCCUGCCAUACUUGCUUACGAGUCACAUACCACCAGUCUUGUCUAGAGUCUUCAAACUAAGCUCUGACACACCACAGAUCUUGUCCAGAGUCUUCAAACUAAGUUCUGAACUUGUACAGAGUCUUCAAACUAAGCUCUGCCAUACCACAGGUUUCGUCCAGAGUCUUCAAACCAGAAGCUCUAAUACCAAUUAAAGUUCAGAGCCGACUUGCUCUGAUACCAAUUCAAAUCAAGAUCAUCUUAUCUUGACUUCUCUGAUGCCCAAUUCAAAUCAGGAUCACCUUACCCUGACUUAGUCACUGAAUGAUUCAGAAAGUGAUUCAGCAACACGAGAACAAGAGUUUAAAGAACAACCUUUCUUUAUUGAUUUAGAAACUUCAUAAAACUAAAUCUCUCUCUUCUGUCCUCUCUGAGGUCUUAUGGAACAACUCUCCAUAGCCUCUCUUAUAUAGAACUUAUCUACCCCUAAGUCUAUAUGAGUCUCUUUCUCUAGACUCUCAUGAGAUCUGUCUCAACACCUCCACGUGUCUCAACUCUCAUCUUCGGAUGCUGGAGCUCCUCUGGUAGCAGAACUCCCCCCGAGCUGUUCUGAGCUCACCCCGAGCUAUUCGAGCUCCCCUGGGCUAUUCGAGCUCCCCGAGCUACACUAAGCUCUUUGAGCUUUCUCUCAAGCUCUCUCUCUUCUUCUUCAUGAGCUCUCCUCUUGAGCUGCCUUCACGAGCUCCCUCUGAGCUGCUCUCACGAGCUCUCCUCUGAGCUACCUCUGAGCUACCCUCUGAGCUACUUCGGCUAUACGAGCUACUCGAGCUCCUUAAGCUCCUCCGAGCUAUUCGAGCUCCUCCGCUUGAGCUGCACGAGCUCCCCUGCUGAGCUACUCCUCUUGUUCUUCACAAGGCUCUUAUUUAUACUAGAACCAAGCUUCUUCUUUGCCUAUUGUGAAUAGGAAGACUUACAAAUCUUGUCCAACUUGACAUUAUUUGUAUUUCCUUUUCUCUUGAUUUCCUUUCUUGGAUUUCCUUUCUUGGAUCUCUUCUAGCAUCUUCUAGAAGGAGAUAACUUGCUCCUCAAGUUAGUUGGAAUUAUCCAACAGACUUUGUAUAUGAAUUUCUUUUCAUAUAAGAAAUUGACUAAGCCUUGCGCAAUUGAAAUUAGAUCUCCAACAUUGGUCAAAUCUUCCUUGGAAAGGGUCGAAAAAGCCUACUCAAUAUGAUGUGCACUAUAUGAUGGUCAGGAAAAAUCGGCCUACCUUUUACGAUGCUAAUAGCCUCAUGGAUAUGAAAAAGAGUCUGUAUCUUUAAUUGCAUAUGCAUCAACAAUAGUACCAAAGUGAAAAAUGUUCAGGUUAAUCCAUAUUCUUUUCAUUGAAUAAAGAAUUUCAAGUGUUUCUUCAGGUUGACCAAUAUGACUAAGUGCGGCAACAAUGCCCAGAACGUAACACCGGUGGGGCUGACGACAGUGGUUUUAACCAUCUCUUUAAACAAUACCCCUGUCUUCUCUGGAACGCUCUUGGAGUAGAUAAAAUUCAUCGAUUUGUUGAUCGUAGUUCAUUUCCUUCGUUCAUUGUGAAAGAUGGUUUCGUCAACCUCCACACAUCCAAUCUCAGCAUACAGUCUCAUUACCCUACUCAUAACCCUCUCUUUGUCUUGCAUCACCAUCUUAAGCGGUUAAAUAUGGUGAGGAUUUGCUGAGUCGUCGAAACCCGCCAAUAGAUAAAUUAUCAAGAGAGACGUUGGCUUCCCAUCUUUAUUGUACUCUUCCAUUACACUAGCAAACCUUACCAACGACCGGUUAAUAUCAAAGCGCAUUGUAAUAUCUUUUGCAGAGCUAAUGCUCUAUCCAAAGUAAGAACCAUACCAACACUAAUUUUUUAAAAAUAUUUACAAGGGUGUUUAAAGUAUUUACAAGAGUUUUUGAAAGAUUUAUAAGGAUUUUUAAAGAAUAGCAAAAAAAAUUUUGGCCAGUGGCUCAAGCUCUAAAUUGCAGAGGAAUGAGUGUGGAAGAUAGCUGUCAGGUCUGUGGAGAGGAAGGGGAUUCAAUAAACCACUCUCUGUUUUUGUGCUCUCAAACUAGACAUGUAUGGGCUUUAUCGGAUUAUCCGUCUCCUCACCUAGGUUUCUCAAAUGGCUCUGUUUUCUCCAAUGUUUUCCACCUUUUAAGCAACAGAAAUAACAAGGAUUGGCCAAUAGAGUUGAGAUUAAGUUUUCCUUGAAUUAUUUGGAGGAUAUGGAAGAACAAAAAUUGUCUCAUUUAUGAAGGGAGGAACUUCACAGCUUUGGAAUCGGUGGAAAAAAUCAGAGUUGAUAUUGCUAAAUGGUUUGAGGCACAAUGUGUUGAUCCUGAUGGUAGUUUAGUGCUUAAUCAACCCUCUCUUAGGGCUGUACAGAGAGGUGCUCAAGUGGUGGUGAAAGGUUGGGAAAAGCCUCCGUGUAAUUGGUUCAAGCUAGUGUAAUGUGGGGUCUUCAUGGUUCAAAAGAAAUCAGAUUGUAGGGGUCUAGUAGGGGGUGCUUGGGUUUUAAGAGAUGAGCUGGGAGUGGUUCUUUUUCAUAGUCGCAGGGCUUUCUCUGGUAUAAGAAGUGCUAAGGAUGCAAAGCUAAGAGUUUUGCUUUGGGCAAUCGAAAGCAUGGCCAGUCACAAAGUGGUGAGAGUUGUUUUUGCUUGUCAAGAUAAAUUUUUUAUUGAGGCAGUCAUUAAUUUUUUAUUAGGCCAAUGGCCUGGCCUUCUUUUAAAGCUCAAUCGGGAGCUAUAAAGAGUUUUUUGCGUUCCAUUCCGGAGUGAAAGAUGUUUUUGGAAACAAAGGCUACAAACAGGGGAGCAAAUCUUACAGCUCAAAGUGUGACAGGGGAUCUCAGGUUACAAUCUUAUGUUGCGGUGGGAUUUCCUGUUUGACUCUCUAGUGUUUUCAAAUCUGAAAGGAUUUUUCCCUCUGUUUGUUAAUGCAGUUUAUGUCUAUGGUUACUAAUUCUUUUGUGAAUCUGCAUUUUUUGUAUAGAACCCCAAACUGUGUUGUUGGUGGUUUAGUGUAGGAGGUAUUGGGUUAGGAGUGCUCUUUUCUCCUCUAGUUUUUAUCCUCACUUGUUGUAACAGUUCGUAACCAUUUUUAUGGCCUUUUCAAUAUAUAUCUACCAGAUGACCAGAAAAAAAGCAGGAAAAUUUUGGCCGGAAAAUUUCACCUUCUCAUUAUUUGCUCUUUCUAAAAUAAGGGUAAUUUAGUCAUUUUGUACAUAGAAUGGGCUAUUUUUGAAAAAAGACAGUAGAAAAGGGUAUGUUUAAAAAAGGACAUAAAACUAACAAUUGACAUUGACUAAAUAAAUACAACAAUACUAAUUCAUGUAUAUUUUUAUGCACUUCUAAAAUAUAUAUGAACUUCUCAAUCAAAAUCCACAAAUAUAUAUAUAUAUAUAUAUAUAUAUAUAUAUAACUGAUUUGAAUAUUGAUUGUACAAAUUAUUUACAGCUCUUUCGAUUCUUCUUUUAGGGUUACACAUACAAUAUUAUUUACUAUUAAAUAAGUCAUGAUCGAUCUUUACUCAUCGAUCACUUACCCACCAUUAAUAUCAACUAGAUGAAUUUCCACACUACGCGUGGGCUUGUUUUGAAAAUUGUUAAGACAAAAAUAUGUUAAUUGUUUUUGUCGCUUUAUGUUUAUUUUUUGUUUGUUAUUGUAUACUUAAUAAAAUAUUAAAAUUAGACUCAUCUUAUGUACUUACAAUUUUUAUUGUUAGAUUCAUUUUUGACUCUAAAUAUCAAUUUAUACAUUUUUCAUGUAUAAUCUGAUUAUUUUUAUAUCUAAGAUUCUAAUAUUUGUUCAUUUUCAUGAAUACAUACAACAAGAAUAUAAGAUAUUUUGAUCUCAAGAGUUUUCGUAUGAAAAGAAGAAAAAUAAAGCAAAAAUUAAAGAGUUAUUUAAGUAACACUUUUAGAUUUUAUGUUAUUGCAUAUAACCAUAUAAGAGAAAUGAAUUUGUCUUGAAUUUUGUGGUACGUCUAACGUCUCAAAAGUCUAUUACUUGAAAAAUUUUACAUGUUAAUGUUACGAACUUACCAUAAGACACAAAAAUAAAAAGAGAGAAUGUCAUAUGAUAAGAUAUGGACCAUAACAUAAUAAUAGGAAAAUAUUCAAGAUAAAAUUAAUAAACUAAUAAGAUAUUAGGUAGCAAACAACUAAACUACAACAUAAAUAAUUAUUUAGUCAUUACCGAGUGAUGACCAUUGACCAUAUAAAUUUAAAAAAUUAGAAAAAUGAUAAAAGUAAAAUGAAAAUAGUAAUUGAUUUAUUAAAAUAAUUUUAUAAUUUUAUUUUUAUUUUGAAGAAAUCAUUUUAGAAAUGGAUUAAUGGAGGAUUUAACACAAUAAGAGACUUUUAAUUUUCUCUCAAUUAAUUUUGCUGAUUUUUAAUUUAAAUAAUGUUGAAUGACACAUGUCAUUUUCUUGUGUGAUGAUGUGGAGAGAGUUGACCAACUUUCAUAUAUAUGGUUUAUUGACUUUUAUUCUAAUAUUUUUGAUAGAUAACGUAUAUCAAUUUAUUUAUGCCGAUUAUAGGAUAUGUUUCAUGAAAACUAUAAGAUUUCACUAAUUGGAUUAGAAACGUUUCAUGAUAACUUUCACUUAAUCAUAUACUCCCUCUGUCCCAUAUUGUUUGUAGUUUUAACUAAAAGCACGCUUAUUAAGGAAACUUAAUUUUGGUUAAAAAUCAUUAAUUUUAUGAUAAAUAAUUAAACAAUGCUUUGACUACAUAUGCUUUUGUCGAUUGUUAUAUUUGGACUUUUGGACUUCUUUGACCAAAAUUUAUUAAUUAUUUUCGGAUUUAAAUUAAUUACUAAGAAAAUAUAAAUUUUUGGAAUAAGUAAAAUUUUGCAUAGAUAUGUGAGAAAAACAAACAAAAUGGAACAAAAAAAAAGCCUAAAACUACAAACAAAAUGGAACAGAGGGAGUAUAUGAAAGAAGAAGAACUAUCUCCAUAUGGGUGACACGUCAGCACAAAAGAGAGUGCCACGUGUCCACUAAAAAUAAUUAACAAAUUAAUUUCAUUCCAAGCAUUAAAGUACAUUUAUUAUUUUCUAUAUUUAAUAGUAUUAGUAUUUUAUUAUUAAAUUUAUUUUUCAAUAAUUUUUUAUACGUUUUCUACAUGUUUGAAGGUUUUUCACUAAUUUAUUGUAGUCUUAAUUCAAAAUUUGAGCAAAAAAUAGUAUAAUCGGUUAGCUAAUGGUUUUAGUAGGUUAUUUUCUUUACUCUCUAUCUAUAUUGGGUGAGGAAUUCAACGUAUAUUAUAUAGGGUGAGGAAUUCAACGUUUUUUUGAGGUUUCAUCAAAUUCUUGAGGUUUUUAUAGUCUCACCAUUACUACCUUAAAAUUGGUUUAGGGCGAAGAUUGUUUCAAGAUCGUAUGAGUGAUACAUUGUUGAGAAUGUUGCUAGAAAAAGAAUUUCGACAAUAAAAGUAGUUGUUGGUACGUUAAGUUCAAUUAUAACUACAAGAAAACAUGUAAUUAGCGACCACACAUUAAGUAGUGUAGUAGUCGCUAAACCUAUUAAGACGACAGUUUGGCGACUAAAACACGUAGUCGGUAAACCUUGCGUCGCUAAAUUUAUUAGUCGCCAAACAGUCUCCAUUUAGCGACUGAAUAACUACUAAAUUAUGUGCCGUUAUUUAGUCGCCUAACAGUCGCCAAAUUAGCGACUGUUUGGAGACAUUAUUGCCACUAUAUAGUGACUCUUUGGCGACUAUUUAGUGACUGAUAUAGCGACUGUUUUGCUACCACAUGGCGUCUGUUUAGUUUAAGUAUUGAUGACUGAAAUGCAACUAUUUGACGACUGAUUACAGGUUUAAUUAUCAAUUUUACAUUCUAAUUUAUGGAAUCCUAAAUUUAAAAAACUAUAUUUAACAAACAAAGAACCUUGAUUCAAACACACAACAUAAUUCAAACAUGUUCACAACAUAAUAUUCAAGCUACAUAAUAUCAAGUUUUUAAGUUUAGAUAAGAAAAGCAACUAAAGGAAGGGGAGAUGAGAUGUUCACUCCUCAGCUUGAUCUUGUGCAGCAGUAGCAGUCUGGAACUCCUCUGUUUGAUCUUCUGAAGUAGACUCGAGGAAGGCGAGAAACUUGGGGUCAGUUUCGGUCAAGUACUUCUUCACCAUCCUCAAGUGUUUGAUCUCUGCUUGUUGCUCAUUAGCAACACGCUUGAUCUCUGCUUGCUCAGCUUUCACCCGCAAUGCCUCUGCCUCCCGAUGUGCUUGGAGAGUCGCUUGUUCUUCUAUCUUGCGGUUGGCUUCCUCAAGCUGUGACUGCAAGGAAGUGAAAGCAGAACUGCUUCCUAGGUACUUUCGCUUCCCAUUGAUGUACCGCCCUAAGCUUCCCAUUCCGAAGUAUACCCCUCUCUCGUUUGUGACAGUUGACUGCAAAAAAAAGACAAGAGGAUUAGUUCUUAAAAGAUGAAGUAAUUAAGUGAUAAUAAAAAAAAAAAAAGAGGAUUAACCACAUUACCUGAAGGAAGAUCUCAUCAUCCUCCUCUUGAGAUAGUUCUGAUCGACGGGAUGUACCAUCAGACCCUUCAUCAUUCACAAGGGCAGCCAACUUAGCUUCCUUGUUCUUCAAAUAUGCCUCAUGAAUUUCCUGCGCCUUCCCAUCAACAAAAAGAAUAAUUCGUAAAACCCGCAGCGUAGCACGGAUAAUCAUCUAGUAACUGAUAGUUUAGCAUCAAAUGACAAAAAACUACAAUGACAAAAUGACUUGGAAUGCUACAUUUAAUGCAAAAGGUUAUAUGUUCGAAAUCUCAUAUAGUAACAAUUUGUACCCAUUGAAAACUUGAGAUUUUGUUAAACUUAAACGAUUGUAUUCUACUAAGAAUUUUAAAUGAUAUGUGUUGUCGUGUGAAUUAUUCAUUCAUGAUUUUGAAAUGUCUUUUGAAAUCUAGUGUUAUUGAGAUAGUAAUUUAAAAAAAUUACUUCAAUGUUACUAGAAAUAUUUUAGGGAGCGAUUGGUUGGACUGUAUCUUAAUGACACAACUCCAAGAAAACUUAAAUCCCCAAUAUUAAACCAAUCAAGGUUUAGCUCUCCUAAACAACUCACAGUCUAAAACAACACUUUUUUAAAAAAAGUUUUUUUAUGUAACUCAUAAAAUUUCUACAUAACAUGUUUUUGUACUUUAAGAGUUGUAAACAAUUUUUUUCUCACGCUUGAAAUUUUAAUAUUCCUUUUUCUUAGACAUAAAAAUUAUAUAAUAAAUUUUAGGGUAAUAUUGUUGAAUAGCCAAAUAAAACAUUGAAAUUAAGAAAAUAGCAGAGAGAAAGUUUUUUUGUUGCAAAAUAGCCAUGGUUUCACGUUGUCAGAUGAAGUGAAAUACCAAAACUAUCUUUUGUUUGUUGCAAGAUCAACGAUAUGCGAGACAGUUUCGUGAGAUUUUCCAAAAUAGCAUAUAACAUUUAAAUUUCACAUGUUAUAUUUAACUAAAAGACAUGAUAUUUCAAAAAACAUAGUGAAUUUUUAAGAAAAAACAUUGUUACGAAGUAUUUUUUAAAGAAAAAACAUUGUUAUAGAAAAUUAAAUCUAAACAAAAUCUUUUUUAAAAGAAAUCACAUGUAAUCUUAAUAUAAAUCGUGUAUUACUAAAAAAUAAUCAUCUUUUUAAAAAAGAAAUCACAUGUGAUCUUAAUAAAACACGUUUAUUAUUACAAAAUAACAUGAUAAAGAGACAUAUUAAAAUAACGUGUAAUACGAGAAAAUACAUGAUAAAAAGAGAUAUAUUAUGCUAUCACAUGUAAUUAAAAAAUACCGUGCAUUCUGACAUGUUACUGACAGGUUACUGUAGCUCAUGGUUAGUUUGUAUAUUAUUUUUGAAUCCAUGGUUACGUUGUAUAUAUUCCCUAAAUUUUAACAAAUCAUUUAAUUAUUUUACUUCCUUAUUACGUAUUAGUACAUGUUACUUUAAAGAUAAGAGAUUCUAAUAUUAAAAUACGGUCAAACAUGUUUUUGAUUUUGAUCCUGUUUUUUUUAGAAUUAGCUAUGGUUCAAUACCCUGCAAGUCACUCACUAUUCUAAGGAGUCUAAGAAUCAAAAGAUGGUGGAGGGAAGGGAAAUGCCAUGAACGUAAGCUGCUUAAAGCUAUAGAGGGGUAUUGUUCGUGAGGCUCCUUUCACAACUUUAAUAGGUUAUUAGAGAGAAAAUAUGGAAUUAUAAUGAUGAUGUCGAAAUAUAAUUAUUUUAAAGCUUCUUCUGUUUUUGACAAUCUAAAUCAAGUUCAUUUUAAUUUACUAAAGUCUAGCAUGUUAAAACAAAGACAAUGGUUGAAUACUUGAAUCUCGAGAUAAAAAAAAAAAUUAUGGUGUUUCAUUUUAGGUGCAUUGACGAGCCAUAACAUCAAACCAGUGUGAAGAAUGAGAGCAUUGACGAGCCAUAACAUCAAACCAGACUGUUUUAGUACUCCUUCUCAUAAAACAUGCACAACAUUAACAUUACUCCAUAUCUUUAAUUUAGUUAAGUUUUUUUUUUCUACAAAUUUGUACAACAUUAACUUUAUUUUAUUAUUAUACUAGAAGGUUGUCCACGCGAUGCGUGGGUUUUUAGUUCAUUUUUUUUGCUAAAUAUUUUAUAAUUUAUGGUUUUGUAUAAUUUAGUUGGUUUAGUGUAUGUUUUUUUUUUUUGGUCAAGAGAUGAAUAUACAUUUCAAUUACAUAUUUUAUAGAAAACUAUCUAUCUAAUCAUUGUUAAUCAUAAGAAAAACAAAAAACUUCCGUUGUUUUAUUUUUCGAUAAAUUUAAAAAGCCUAUUUUGGAUUUUGAUUUAUUAACUAUUCUAGAUGCAGUUCUACCAAAAAAAUUAAUAUUCUCAAUGCAUUUCUAAGUAUUUUCUAAGUAUCUAUUUACAAUAUUUUUCUAAUGUAAAUAACAUAUAUAAAAAUUAAAUGACUGAAAUUAUAUAAAUUAUAAAUAUAUAUAUAUAUAUAUAUAUAUACAUUACUUUAAUUGUUAUAAAAGUUUAUUAUAAUAUAUAUUUUUACCAAAAAUUGUAUAAUGUACUAUUUAUUAUAUGUUUCAUUUAUUAUCAUAUUGUAAUAUAGUACAAAUAAUUAAAAUUAUUAUGCUUAAAUUUAAAUCCACAAUAUUGAACUAAUUUUACUAGGCAGUCUGUACUAUUAACAUAACUACAUAAAAAAAAUAAACCAAUCACUCAUUUAAGAAUAAUAUUUUUAUUGACUUUUAAGGUAGUAUAUAUAGAAGAUUUUCUUGAUUAAAAAUAUAAAUACCAUGCUGUAAAGAGAUUUGGGAGGAUAUUAUAACAAAUCAUAGCAACAUUCCUAAUUUUAUCCAAAAAUAAUUCAAAAUAUAUAGUUAAAUACAUUCCUAGGUAUUCAUUACAAGAUCAAGAAAAGAUAAGAAACUUACGAAAAAACGUAGAAAAUAUUUUAUCAAAUAUUUUAAAUCAUGAAAUAUGCUUACGUCGUUGGUGGUUUUAUGUGUUCUCGUGUUCUUUGUUAUGACUCAUGCUAAAGGAAAUAUAUUUUUCUUCUUUUGAUUUUGAUAGUUACUCGCAUAAUACAAAAUAUAUUUUUUUUUUGUCAACCACACAUUAAUUAAUAAAUAACUCCUUGAUUGGUUGCCCAACUAGGAGGAGAAGUGUUUACAAAAGUAACUUCAGAAAAUAAAAGUCUAGAAGAUCGGGCUAAACAGUCCGCUUUAACAUUAAUAGCAAAAAUUGUUAUCAUCAAUUAUUUAUCUAACGUGUUUUAUCAAUAAUUCAAUAUUUUUGUGAUUUGAUACCGUUGAGAACAGAAAAAAGAAAGAUAGCAUUGUCACAUUUUUGGAUGGAUAGGGUGAUGAUGUUCCACUAUGCAAAGAUAGCCUCGGGAAAAAAGGUUUUCCUUAUUGCGAAUGUCUAGAUGUAGCGUUUCCGCGUGGACAUUAGUACUAUUGUUUUAAUCAUAAGAUUUAAAAAAGAUAUAUUCACACAAUUCAGAAUAAUUUACAUUAAAAUAAAACUAAAAUUCUAUCGUUAUUAUCUCCACCGUCGUCUCUUCUCGGUCGUAGAUCUUUUGGUACCAUUUCACCUGCUUUUCGUUCACUUCCUCGUUGGAGCCAUUGUUUUCACUCAAAACCAUCUCCGUUUCGCUUAACCACUCAGAUCAGAGCUGUUUCUCCAGUCUUAGAUCGUCUCGAGAGAACCUUCUCUUCCAUGGGUAAAGUUUCUCGAUCUGAUUGAUCUUAGUGCUUGAAUUUUCCGAUCUCUGUUGAUUUAGUAACAGUUUUUUUUGCGAUUAUUAUUGUUUCAGCGUCAGAGCAUCCGUUUAAAGGGAUCUUCACUACUCUUCCUAAGCCUGGUGGUGGUGAAUUUGGAAAGUUCUAUAGCUUACCUGCUCUUAAUGAUCCACGAAUUGGUAUGUAGUUUUGAGUAUCUCUAUGAAUGAGUUUAUGAAGGACCUGAAUCUAAGAGGAGUGAUCUAUUUGCAGAUAAACUUCCUUACUCUAUUAGGAUUCUUCUUGAAUCUGCGAUUCGUAAUUGUGAUAACUUUCAAGUUACUAAGGAAGAUGUUGAGAAGAUUAUUGACUGGGAAAAAACAUCUCCUAAACAAGUCGAGAUUCCGUUUAAACCGGCUCGUGUUCUUCUUCAGGACUUUACGGGAGUCCCAGCUGUUGUUGACCUUGCUUGUAUGCGUGAUGCGAUGAAUAAGCUGGGCAGUGAUUCCAACAAAAUCAAUCCCUUGGUAUUUUGUUAUUUUGCGCAGAUUGAUGCUAUUUGUUUAGCUUAGGAUUCUUCUAGAAUUCUUAUGUAUACCGUGUCUCUCAGGUUCCGGUGGAUCUUGUGAUUGACCACUCAGUUCAAGUUGAUGUUGCUCGAUCUGAGAAUGCAGUGCAAGCAAACAUGGAGCUUGAGUUCCAGAGGAACAAGGAGAGGUUUGCUUUCCUUAAAUGGGGUUCUACUGCGUUCCAGAACAUGCUUGUUGUGCCUCCUGGCUCUGGUAUUGUGCAUCAGGUAAUUCUCUUGUAGUGUGUGAGUCCAUAAUUUGUUUCUAAACUUGUUCUGACAUUGAUAUAUAUCCUUUUCAACCUCAUGUUUUCAGUGUAUUGAAAUGAUUUUGUCUCAAACUAAACCUCAUCUUGAAAAUUCAGGUCAAUUUGGAAUAUCUUGGAAGAGUUGUGUUCAAUACCAAAGGCCUUCUCUACCCAGACAGCGUGGUUGGAACUGAUUCACAUACAACUAUGAUUGAUGGUUUGGGAGUUGCUGGAUGGGGAGUUGGAGGCAUUGAAGCUGAGGCAACAAUGCUUGGGCAGGUAAUUAUUUUGAUUAUGAGCAUUAUCCAGAUCCUAUGUUUGUGAAUCUGGUGACUAUAUUGUACGACUAUUCUGCUCCAGUUUAGUGAGGUUUUAUAUUCAAUCUUUCUUAUACUGAUGACUCUUUUUUGCUUGACAGCCCAUGAGUAUGGUAUUGCCUGGUGUUGUUGGAUUCAAACUGGCCGGAAAAAUGCGUAAUGGUGUAACAGCUACUGAUUUGGUUCUAACAGUGACUCAAAUGCUGAGGAAGCAUGGUGUUGUUGGAAAGUUUGUUGAGUUUUAUGGUAAUCUACAUCUUUGUGAGCGCUUAAGUGUUAUGCUCCUUUUUAAUAGACAUUUGUUUAUUGGAGCAUUCUAAAGGCUACAUUUUUCUUCUUAGGUGAUGGUAUGAGUGGGCUGUCCCUAGCUGACAGGGCAACCAUUGCCAACAUGUCUCCCGAGUAUGGUGCAACCAUGGGCUUCUUCCCUGUGGAUCAUGUUACUCUACAGUAUCUCAAAUUGACUGGAAGAAGCGAUGAGACAGUGAGUGUUUGGCUUUAAACUUCCUUCUAUAUAUAUAUCUGGUCUGAUACAGUACUUUCAUGGCAGGUGGCCAUGAUUGAAGCAUAUCUUCGCGCUAACAAUAUGUUUGUUGACUACAAUGAGGUAAAUCAGCCUUAUCCUUUAUAUUUGGGUUUUAAGUAUUUUAUCUCGUUUCAGGUUUUUAUUUGACUUUUUUGUUAAUAAAUUUCAGCCUCAGCAAGACCGAGUUUACUCAUCAUAUCUAGAACUGAACCUGGAUAAUGUUGAACCUUGCAUUUCUGGACCAAAGCGGUAUGGGUUCUGUCAGUUUUUGUAAUCACAAAUUUUAUUGUCUGAUUAUUGGAUCAUGACCAUAUUAUUGAUAUCUACUUUUCAGGCCACAUGAUCGUGUUACUUUGAAGGAUAUGAAAGCUGACUGGCAUUCAUGUCUUGACAGUAAAGUUGGGUUCAAGGUAUGUAACUAGAUGUUUCGUUUUGUGGAGGUCUGAUUUCCUAAGCAUUUGCUCGUUCAAUAGACUGUUGGUGCACUUUUUAGAUACCACUGUUCAUUUCUGAAUAUUGUUAUACAUUCUAUGCAGGGUUUUGCUAUACCUAAAGACGCACAAGAAAAAGUGGCAAAUUUUUCGUUUAAUGGAGAACCAGCAGAGCUUAAACAUGGAAGUGUGGUGAUUGCUGCAAUCACAAGCUGUACUAAUACAUCAAAUCCCAGUGUCAUGCUUGGUGCUGGUCUUGUUGCAAAGAAGGCGUGUGACCUUGGCCUACAGGUUGGUUUCACGAGAUCAAACUAGAAUUCUAUCUGAUGCCUCGACUUUUUCUGAUCCCUUUUCAAAAACUUGCCUCUAUAGGUUAAGCCUUGGAUAAAGACAAGUCUUGCGCCAGGCUCAGGAGUUGUUACAAAAUACUUGUUAAAGAGGUAUGUUGUAGUGUUUUCAAGUUCUUUGUUGUUAAAGGCUGAUUCUUGCUUUUGUGCGGGAAAUUUUAAGUGUAUAUUUUUACUUCAUGCAGUGGACUGCAAGAAUAUCUGAAUCAACAGGGUUUCAAUAUUGUCGGCUACGGUUGCACUACCUGCAUUGGGAAUUCUGGAGAAAUUAAUGAAUCAGUGGGAGCUGCUAUUACCGAAAAUGGUAUUAUUGAGAUUCACAACUAAACUUACUUUGGACCUUCAUCCUAUAUAUUACUAUUAUAUAUAGGUGGCCAAUUGUUAUCAAAAUUUGUGGUGCUUGUUGUUAGACAUUGUGGCGGCUGCUGUUCUUUCCGGGAACAGGAACUUUGAGGGGCGUGUUCAUCCUCUAACAAGAGCCAACUACCUUGCUUCUCCUCCUUUGGUGGUUGCCUAUGCUCUUGCUGGCACGGUAAUAAAUCUUGGGAACUUGUCAAAGUUCAACCAACAUUUUGUGUGAGAUAAUGACACAUGACUCAUUAUCAUAUUGGUAAUUUAACAUUCUUCUUUCUUAUUUUCCAGGUUAACAUCGACUUUGAAUCGGAGCCUAUUGGCACUGGAAAGAAUGGCAAGGACGUCUUCCUAAGAGAUAUCUGGCCAACCACGGAAGAAAUUGCUGAGGUAUGUACGACUUAACCAGAGAACAAUAACUUCUUUUUAGGACACAAAUAUUAAAUAAGUCUUUUGACAUAUGGAUCAGGUUGUUCAAUCCAGUGUUUUGCCUGACAUGUUCCGAGCAACAUACGAGUCAAUCACCAAGGGUAACCCCAUGUGGAAUAAGCUGUCUGUUCCUGAGAAUACCCUUUACUCAUGGGAUCCCAACUCUACUUACAUUCACGAGCCUCCAUACUUUAAGGACAUGACCAUGGAUCCUCCAGGGCCACACAAUGUGAAGGAUGCUU